GCGCAACCCUUGUCCUUAGUUACCAGCACGUUAUGUGGGCACUCUAAGGAGACUGCCGGUGACAACCGGAGGAAGGUGGGGAUGACGUCAAGUCAUCAUGGCCCUUACGGCCUGGGCUACACACGUGCUACAAUGGUCGGUACAAAGGGUUGCCAAGCCGCGAGGUGGAGCUAAUCCCAUAAAACCGAUCGUAGUCCGGAUCGCAGUCUGCAACUCGACUGCGUGAAGUCGGAAUCGCUAGUAAUCGUGAAUCAGAAUGUCACGGUGAAUACGUUCCCGGGCCUU
rnacentral:rRNA from 1 species